rnacentral:rRNA from 1 species
GGCCAUACCACCCUGAACGCGCCCGAUCUCGUCUGAUCUCAGAAGCUAACAGGGUCGGGCCUGGUUAGUACUUGGGUGGGAGAAUUCAAUGUUAAUACACUGCCUAGCACGAUAUGGGGCACCCAGGAAGUC